rnacentral:lncRNA from 1 species
GCGCGACGCGGGCGCAAUGGCGGGGACCCGGGGCUUGAUGCUGCUUGGGCCUGGCCCAGUGGCGGGUCCUAGGGACGUGGGUACCUGCAGAGGCCGGCAGAUGGAGAUUCAGAAACAUAAGGACAACAAGAAACUUCCCCAAGGUAUCAUUAUAGUCUUUAGACUUCAGACACACACCACACCUCAAAUAUAUACACAACUGAAAGGAAAAUUAAGGAAGUUUUUCAAAGAACCCUAUUCCGAGUAAGAAGUGUGUUGCAUGAAUUUCUAAGGUCAAAGAUGUUGAUUCAUUCAUAGUGUGAGGCCCAGAAAUCGGCAUUUUUAAACAAGUACACUGGACAUUUCUAAAGCUGGCUAAAGUUUGAGAGACACUAUCCAAGGGAAAUUUCUCCGUAACUCUUUUUCUCAGAAGAAAAGUAAACUAAAAGUAAAAAUAAGCAGUACCACUAAGUUUCAAGUGAUCUUCUCCUAAAAGAAGAAAAGGCCUAUAUUCAGGCACAAGAAAAGUAUAUUCUCUUUUAUCCAUGCAGAAAACAGCUAGUGGUUGAAAAUCAACACUUCAGACCUCUUGUCUACAUAAAGCCAACUGCCCCUUUGUUUUACUGAUGUCUUCAAUGAUUUUACUUAGAUUUUUCUACGGCAUUUACUGAAUUAGCUAAGCAGACACAGAUCCAGUCCUUCAUGAAUAUGGUUUGGAGACUCUCUACUGAAUCAGCACUCUUAGCUUCACCGACAUAGUCUCUUGGUAGACCAGAAGGUGUAUCUUAUCUGGAAAGACUGCUAUAUCUACACCCACAAAAAGCAUUAUUUAUCUGAACACUAAAUUCUGACUUCCUUGCCAUUUUAGGGAGCCACUUUAAAACAUUUUCAAUAUUUGCUAUUUUGUAGCAGCAAAUCCUUCAGAAGGAGGUCAAGUGAUGGCCUUUAUCUGUUCCCAGUGUCUUGCCCUUAGGUCCUCAGGGCACCCCCUGGACAGCAGCCUUAGGAACCAGGUACAAAGCACAAGCACUGCUGGUCCGCAUGGUAAGGAAUCACUUCCAGACUGGGCCUUCCCAUGGGCUUCCCUGAGCUUCCUGGACUCAAAUCAUAGUCCUUCUUUUCCUCUCCCCUUUGGACUUGAUAAACGCAGUCCCAUUCAUUUAAUCUCCAACUUAGAAAUCCGGAGAAUGUGAGCCCUGGGAUUUACUUUCAGACACCCUCGUCGAUAACCUUGGCCACUUAGGUUGCUGCAGCCUGUCCCCAGGGAGACAGUUAGAAUGGAACAAUGACACAAACAACACCAACAAUAACAACAGCAGCAGAAGCAGAAGCAACAAUAGUAGAACGAGAAAUAAUUUAUAACAUGCUUACUACAUGCCAGGCACUAAGUGCUUACCCAUAUUAACUCAGUUAAUUCUUAUAACAACCAGAUGAGAUAGAUUUUCUUAUUAUCCCGAUUUUACAAAUGAGCAAACAGAGGCACAAGCAGGUUAAGAAACCUCCCCAAGGUUAAACAGUGAGAAACAGCAAAGAUUUGAACAGUGAGAAACAGCAAAGAUUUGAAACAGCAAAGAUUUGAACCUAUUGUUCGGGAGUCCAUGCUGUUACUCAUUUCUUUAUGCUGCCAUAAUCUAAUAUAAAAUUGAAUAACAAUAAAUGCACCUUAUAUUUGUAUAGCUAUACACACUAAUUUACAUGAUCUUCAUAAGAACUAUGAAAUGGCUGUGAUUAUCCCCAUUUUUAAAAUGAUACUAUAAAGGCAUAAAAUGCUGUAUUUAUGGUAUGCAACCCUUUGGUGAACAACCCUAUAAAUAUUUAAUUACUUAUAUUGAUGUUCUUCCUACGUCUAAGAAAAAUGUUAUUUCCAUUCCCAAGAUGUUAGUAGAGACGAAGAUUUUUCAAUUUGUCUCCUUGAUUUUGUUGGAUUAUAGCAUUAAAGUUAUUUUUACAAAGCCAUCUACGGUAACCCAGUAGAAAGGGUAAGCCUGUUGGCUUAGGAAAACUGAAUGGCAUUCAGUUUCUUCAAAGAAAUUUGGGACAGAUGUGGGUUUUUUUUCUUCUUCUUCUUCAACAAAUCCAGAAGAUGAAAAAUGUAUUUUAUUUCUUGUGAAAUGCAUUUUUCUGUUCAUCUCAGUAUGUGGGACUGUUGAAGUUUAUAAGUUUGGCAGUGUUCUAACAUGGCCAUCCUGUUCUCCUUUAGCAACUUAUUAAAUGUAUUUUUUUUAAUGAAAACAGAA